rnacentral:rRNA from 1 species
AGUGAACGCUGGCGGUAGGCCUAACACAUGCAAGUCGAACGGCAGCACAGUAAGAGCUUGCUCUUACGGGUGGCGAGUGGCGGACGGGUGAGGAAUACAUCGGAAUCUACUUUUUCGUGGGGGAUAACGUAGGGAAACUUACGCUAAUACCGCAUACGACCUACGGGUGAAAGUAGGGGAUCUUCGGACCUUGCGCGAUUGAAUGAGCCGAUGUCGGAUUAGCUAGUUGGCGGGGUAAAGGCCCACCAAGGCGACGAUCCGUAGCUGGUCUGAGAGGAUGAUCAGCCACACUGGAACUGGGACACGGUCCAGACUCCUACGGGAGGCAGCAGUGGGGGAUAUUGGACAAUGGGCGCAAGCCUGAUCCAGCCAUACCGGGUGGGUGAAGAAGGCCUUCGGGUUGUAAAGCCCUUUUGUUGGGAAAGAAAAGCAGCAGGUUAAUACCCCGCUGUUCUGACGGUAACCAAAGAAUAAGCACCGGCUAACCUCGGGC